rnacentral:lncRNA from 1 species
AUUUGCACACUUGCUUGCCACUGCGCAGCGAGCCCCUAACCCCGCCGCCGCGGCCGGGUGGGUCUCGGGCAGAGUCGGCCUCCGAAGCCCCCGCCCCCGCCCCCGCCCCCGAGGUCGAGCGCCGGCCAAGUCCGCGGACGUAGCACUCAACGAACGCGUUGAUCCCUCCGCGCGGGAGACGAGGACAGCGGCCCCUUCCUCACUAGAUUCAGCCCUACAGCCCAUCCUUGAUAGGUAAACAUUUCAGGGGGUCUCUUAGAUGUUUUGGGGGGGCACUAGUUAUCUCUCCAAAGGGCCUGAAGUGUGAGAAAAGUAGUCCCUUCUCGGCGUUUCUGCGGAGGGAUCCAUUGGAGCGGGGCUACCGAAUGCUAUAUAAGGAGGCGCCGGGUGUGGCGCAGGCAGUUCCGAGGAGGCCGGGAGUUCAGUUUUCCUUCCUUUGCGUGUGCUGCUGUCACAGCCUCUUGACAAUGCAGAUCUUCGUGAAGACCUUUGACCGGUAAGACCAUCACCCUGGAGGUGGAGCCCAGCGACACCAUCGAGAAUGUCAAGGCGAAGAUCCAGGACAAGGAGGGCAUCCCCCCGGACCAGCAGAGGUUGAUCUUUGCCGGGAAACAGCUGGAAGAUGGGCGCACCCUGUCUGACUACAACAUCCAGAAGGAAUCCACUCUGCACUUGGUCCUGCGCUUGAGGGGAGGGGUCUAAGUUCCCCCUUUCAAGCUGCUGACAAAAUACAUUGCACUUUUCUUUCAAUAAAGUUGUUGCAUUCCCAAAUAGUGUGAGUUUUUAUGGGGAGAGGUGCUCUCUUUCGUUUGGAUGGGGUUUGAGGGGGUCAGGGUUUUCAGUCUAUCAAGUGAUUUUAGUAACCAGAAGGUCUUAAAAAAUUCAGAGGUUGCAGUUAGGAUUCUCCGUAUGUAGCUUACAUGUAGGUGUACUCGUAAACCUACUGAUUUUUGGGGGCACCUGGGUGGCUCAGUCGUUAAGCGUCUUGUCUUCAGCUCAGGGUGUGAUCCUGGCGUUAUGGGAUCGAGCCCCACAUCAGGCUCCUCCACUGGAAGCCUGCUGCUUCCUCUCCCACUCCCCCUGCUUGUGUUCCCUCUCUCUCUCUGGCUGUCUCUCUGUCAAAUAAAAAAACCUUGAAAAAUGAAAAUAAAUAAACCUACUGAUUUUAAAAAUACUGAAGUUGAGGUUGGUUUGUGAGGUAACAGUGGGAAAGUUUCUGGGCUGCCAGCAGGAGGGAGAUACUACAAAGAGGGUGGGGGUGGUGAAAUCUACAGAAGAACCCGGUUUAAUGCAUAGGUCUAUUGAAAUUUGAACUGCACAGAAAGCCGUUUUACCAGGUAUUUUAAAAAGAAUGGCAAAUAAUGUAUAUAAAAAGUGUGUCUGGCAUUAUGCUCAGAAGUUUAGGAAUCAGUGGUUAUUUAGAUAAUGACGAUUGUUAA